UAGCAGCACAGGCAAAUCUCUCAAAAG
rnacentral:piRNA from 1 species